GAUUAUGGCUCAGGAUGAACGCUAGCUACAGGCUUAACACAUGCAAGUCGAGGGGCAGCAUUGGGAUAGCUUGCUAUUUCAGAUGGCGACCGGCGCACGGGUGAGUAACGCGUAUCCAACCUUCCUGCCAGUAGGGAACAGCCCGGCGAAAGUCGGAUUAAUGCCCUAUGUUCUUCAAUGCGGACAUCUAAGUUGAAGGAAAGAUUCAUCGCUGGCAGAUGGGGAUGCGUCCGAUUAGCUUGCCGGCGGGGUAACGGCCCACCGGGGCGACGAUCGGUAGGGGUUCUGAGAGGAAGGUCCCCCACACUGGUACUGAGACACGGACCAGACUCCUACGGGAGGCAGCAGUGAGGAAUAUUGGUCAAUGGGCGUAAGCCUGAACCAGCCAAGUAGCGUGCAAGGACGACCGGCCCUACGGGUUGUAAACUGUCUUUUAUGCGGGGAUAAAGUGCGGCACGUGUGCCGCUUUGCAGGUACCGCAUGAAUAAGGACCGGCUAAUUCCGUGCCAGCCGCUGC
rnacentral:rRNA from 1 species